CUUUUCUUGAUUUUAUAUGAAAUUUGACCUGCCCAAUGAUUUAUUAAAUGGCCGCGGUAUUUUGACCGUGCAAAGGUAGCAUAAUCAUUAGUUUAUUAAUUGUGAACUUGUAUGAAUGGUUGGACGAGAUAAUUUCUGUCUUAAUUUUAUAUAUAUAAUUUAAAUUUUUAGUUAAAAUGCUUAAAUUUAUUUAUUGGACGAGAAGACCCUAUAGAUCUUUAUUUGUAUUUUUAUUAAUUUCUUUGGAUUUAUUUUUUUUAAUAUUUUUAUUUAUUUUGUUGGGGUGAUUUGGAGAUAUAUAUAACUCUUUAUUUUUUUUUUCAUUUAUUUAUGUAUAUUUGAACUUUAUUUUUGUUAUAAGAUUUAGAUACCUUAGGGAUAACAGCGUAAUUUUACUUGAAAGUUCUUAUUAAUAGUGAAGUUUGCGACCUCGAUGUUGGAUUAAGAUUAAUAUUGGGUGUAGGUGCUCUAAUUAUUAGGUCUGUUCGACCUUUAAAAUCUUACAUGAUCUGA
rnacentral:rRNA from 1 species